rnacentral:rRNA from 1 species
AUUGAACGCUGGCGGCACGCCUAACACAUGCAAGUCGAGCGGCAGCGAGACUAGUAGCAAUACUAGUUGUCGGCGAGCGGCGGACGGGUGAGUAACACGUAGGAAUCUGCCCUUAAGAGGGGGAUAACCAAGGGAAACUUUGGCUAAUACCGCAUAAUCUCGAGAGAGCAAAGCUGCCCGCAAGGGUGGCACUUGAGGAGGAGCCUGCGUCCGAUUAGCUAGUUGGUGGGGUAAUGGCCUACCAAGGCGAUGAUCGGUAACUGGUCUGAGAGGACGACCAGUCACACUGGGACUGAGACACGGCCCAGACUCCUACGGGAGGCAGCAGUGGGGAAUAUUGGACAAUGGGGGCAACCCUGAUCCAGCGAUGCCGCGUGAGUGAAGAAGGCCUUCGGGUCGUAAGGCUCUUUAGGUUGGGAAGAAGGGUAUUGGCUGAAUAAUCCAGUACUUUGACGGUACCGACAGAAUAAGCACCGGCAAACUCUGUGCCAGCCGCCGCAGUAACAC